rnacentral:tRNA from 1 species
GGUUGUGGCUCAGUGGUAGAGCACUUGCCUAGCAUGUGUGAGGCCCUGGGUUCCAGUCUCAGACCA